AGUGAACGCUGGCGGCGUGCUUAACACAUGCAAGUCGAACGAGAACGGAUUAUAGCUUGCUAUAAUUGUCAGCUAAGUGGCGCACGGGUGAGUAAUAUAUAGAUAACCUGCCCUCUAGAAAGGAAUAACAGUUGGAAACGACUGCUAAUGCCCUAUAUGCCUUUAAUACAUAAGUAUGCAAGGGAAAGGGUUUAGUGCUAGAGGAUGGGUCUGUAUGGUAUCAACUUGUUGGUGAGGUAAUGGCUCACCAAGGCUAUGACGCCUAACUGGUUUGAGAGGAUGAUCAGUCACACUGGAACUGAGACACGGUCCAGACUCCUACGGGAGGCAGCAGUGGGGAAUAUUGCACAAUGGACGAAAGUCUGAUGCAGCAACGCCGCGUGGAGGAUGACACAUUUCGGUGCGUAAACUCCUUUUAUAUAGGAGGAUAAUGACGGUACUAUAUGAAUAAGCACCGGCUAACUCCGUGCCAGCCGCCGCAGUAAAAC
rnacentral:rRNA from 1 species